UGUCUUCCUCGUCUCACCUCUGGAACAGCAUCUUAGGUUUCAACCCUUGAGUUAUAACCGUGUCAGUACAUGCUCCAGGCUACUCUGAAUGCAGCAGGAAAAUGAUUGAUAUGGGACCAGUUCUCUUCAGGAUUGUAAGGCCUCUCUGAGAGUUAUAAUGAGUUAUCAAGGGAAGCCCAUGAAUGAUGAGACCAUGGACCCUAAGAGUGUCCAUACUGAGAAAAAAAGUCACCAACCCCCAGUUGUGAUUCACUGAAGAGCAACCAAUCGAUGGGGUUACCUAUUUCUUUAAAGGAGGGAAUCUCUACUCAAGAUGAACGAUGCAGCUAUCUGGAGCGAACAUCAUCAUUUGGGAGUAAUCUAAAUUUUUCAUGUGAGAGUGACCAAUCAUUGCAUUUCACCUAUUUUAUCAAGGAGGGAGACUAUGAACCAAGGUGAGAUUUUAUUAUUCCAUACAUAAUUCUAAAUAGCAGUUUGUGUCAUUACGAUUAAGUGCUGGCAGAGGGCACACUGACACGUUUCAUUUGAACAGUGCUUGGGUUAUUAAGUUCAGUCGCCUAUUAUCAACGCAGAAUCAAUCUCUGGUAAGAAAUGCUUUCCUCUCCAUCUUUAAAUAAGCAUGCCCCAUUCAAAAAUGUAGAACUAAGAACAGAUUUAGCCCUUGGUUCAC